rnacentral:rRNA from 1 species
CACGUAGGGGGCGAGCGUUGUCCGGAAUCAUUGGGCGUAAAGAGCUCGUAGGCGGCUUGUCGCGUCGGCUGUGAAAUCCCGUGGCUCAACUGCGGGCUUGCAGCCGAUACGGGCAGGCUAGAGUUCGGUAGGGGAGACUGGAGUUCCUGGUGUAGCGGUGAAAUGCGCAGAUAUCAGGAGGAACACCGGUGGCGAAGGCGGGUCUCUGGGCCGAUACUGACGCUGAGGAGCGAAAGCGUGGGGAGCGAACAGG